UUCCAGACUCCUACGGGAGGCAGCAGUCGGGAAUAUUGCGCAAUGGAGGAAACUCUGACGCAGUGACGCCGCGUAUAGGAAGAAGGUUUUCGGAUUGUAAACUAUUGUCCACAGGGAAGAUAAAAGACUGUACCUGUGAAGAAAGCUCCGGCUAACUACGUGCCAGCAGCCGCGGUAAUACGUAGGGGGCAAGCGUUAUCCGGAUUUACUGGGUGUAAAGGGAGCGUAGACGGCGAUACAAGUCUGAAGUGAAAGCCCGGGGCUCAACCCCGGGACUGCUUUGGAAACUGUGUUGCUGGAGUGCUGGAGAGGCAAGCGGAAUUCCUAGUGUAGCGGUGAAAUGCGUAGAUAUUAGGAAGAACACCAGUGGCGAAGGCGGCUUGCUGGACAGUAACUGACGUUGAGGCUCGAAAGCGUGGGGAGCAAACAGGAUUAGAUACCCUUGUAA
rnacentral:rRNA from 1 species